rnacentral:tRNA from 1 species
AGGGUUUUAGCUUAAUUAAAGCGUAUGAGUUGCAAUCAUAAUAUGUAGAUUAGAGUUUUACAGGUCCUC